rnacentral:rRNA from 1 species
ACGGAAGGCAGCAGUGGGGAAUAUUGGACAAUGGGGGGAACCCUGAUCCAGCGACGCCGCGUGAGCGAAGAAGUAUUUCGAUAUGUAAAGCUCUAUCAGCAAGGAAGAAAAUGACGGUACUUGACUAAGAAGCCCCGGCUAACUACGUGCCAGCAGCCGCGGUAAUACGUAGGGGGCAAGCGUUAUCCGGAUUUACUGGGUGUAAAGGGAGCGUAGACGGUGAGACAAGUCUGAAGUGAAAACCCCGGGCUCAACCCGGGGAUUGCUUUGGAAACUGUAUGUACUAGAGUGCAGGAGAGGUAAGCGGAAUUCCUAGUGUAGCGGUGAAAUGCGUAGAUAUUAGGAGGAACACCGGAGGCGAAGGCGGCUUACUGGACUGUAACUGACGUUGAGGCUCGAAAGCGUGGGGAGCAAACAGGAUUAGAUACCCUGGUA